GCUUAUACUCGCCCGUCAGCGGCAAGUGCGAUCGCGCGCUUCGGUGCGCGGUCACGAAGCCCUGACGAGUAGGAGGGUCGCGGCGGUGAGCGCAGAAGGGCUGGCCGCGAGGCCGUCUGGAGCCGCCGUCGGUGCAGAUCUUGGUGGUAGUAGCAAAUACUCCAGCGAGGCCCUGGAGGACUGACGUGGAGAAGGGUUUCGUGUGAACAGCCGUUGCACACGAGUCAGUCGAUCCUAAGCCCUAGGCGAAAGCCGAUGUCGAUGCGGUGUGGAUUUCUUUUAUAUAAUAUACGAUGGUGAUGAUGAUGCAUGUACGCGUCCGCGCGCGCGCGCGUACGAUGAGAACGAAACAAAUGUUAAUUCKUUAUAACAUCGUCGUCGCCGCCGCCGUCGUCGUCGUCGUCGUCGUCGUCGUCGUCGUAUCACACACACACAAAAGUCGAUCGAACACACCCAUCGGGCGAAAGGGAAUCCGGUUCCUAUUCCGGAACC
rnacentral:rRNA from 1 species